GCAGCAGCCACGGUAAUACAGAGGGUGCGAGCGUUAAUCGGAUUUACUGGGCGUAAAGCGUGCGUAGGCGGCUGUUUAAGUCGGAUGUGAAAUCCCUGAGCUUAACUUAGGAAUUGCAUUCGAUACUGGGAAGCUAGAGUAUGGGAGAGGAUGGUAGAAUUCCAGGUGUAGCGGUGAAAUGCGUAGAGAUCUGGAGGAAUACCGAUGGCGAAGGCAGCCAUCUGGCCUAAUACUGACGCUGAGGUACGAAAGCAUGGGGAGCAAACAGGAUUAGAUACCCGUGUAGUCCCUGUCUCUUAUAA
rnacentral:rRNA from 1 species